UAGAGUUUGAUCAUGGCUCAGGACGAACGCUGGCGGCGUGCUUAACACAUGCAAGUCGAACGGAGUCAUCAUUUUUGAAGCAAUUAGCUUGCUAAGAGUGGAAAUGUUGAUGACUUAGUGGCGGACGGGUGAGUAACGCGUGGGUAACCUGCCUUACACAGGGGGAUAACACUUAGAAAUAGGUGCUAAUACCGCAUAAGCGCACAGUCCCGCAUGGGACAGAGUGAAAAACAUUAGUGGUGUAAGAUGGACCCGCGUCUGAUUAGCUUGUUGGCGGGGUAACGGCCCACCAAGGCGACGAUCAGUAGCCGGCCUGAGAGGGUGGACGGCCACAUUGGGACUGAGACACGGCCCAAACUCCUACGGGAGGCAGCAGUGGGGGAUAUUGGACAAUGGGGGAAACCCUGAUCCAGCGACGCCGCGUGAGUGAAGAAGUAUUUCGGUAUGUAAAGCUCUAUCAGCAGGGAAGAAAGAAAUGACGGUACCUGAGUAAGAAGCCCCGGCUAACUACGUGCCAGCAGCCGCGGUAAUACGUAGGGGGCAAGCGUUAUCCGGAAUUACUGGGUGUAAAGGGAGCGUAGACGGUAAUGCAAGUCUGGAGUGAAAGGCGGGGGCCCAACCCCCGGACUGCUCUGGAAACUGUGUAACUGGAGUGCAGGAGAGGCAGGCGGAAUUCCUAGUGUAGCGGUGAAAUGCGUAGAUAUUAGGAGGAACACCAGUGGCGAAGGCGGCCUGCUGGACUGUAACUGACGUUGAGGCUCGAAAGCGUGGGGAGCAAACAGGAUUAGAUACCCUGGUAGUCCACGCCGUAAACGAUGAUUACUAGGUGUGAGUGGGUAUGGACCC
rnacentral:rRNA from 1 species